AGGUAAGGUCCUACAGCGUGGUACACCACGGUCACAAAUUUUGACCUCCCAUUAUCAUGCUGUAGGACUUUACC
ensembl:miRNA cin-mir-4156 cin-mir-4156